AUCUCGCUCCUUCCCCAUCUCUCUCUCUCUCCCUCUCUCUCUUUCUUUCCCUUCUUCCCCAUCUCUCUCCUUCACAUCUCUCUCCCUCCACUCUCAAAUAUUUUGAUUUGCACCGUUGCUGUCCAACUCCUGAGAAGAGUCUUCGUGAAGACCAGAUAAUCCCAUUAACCGAUAUAUCACACCAAGGCCACCAGAACCCGCUGGAACUACGUCGUGUCAGGACUGGAUAUGUACGCUCCGGACAGGCAGAAUAUCCUCUAAACACACAGACAGGAUGUUCAACUGGGUGGUAAGAGUGGUGCCCAAGCCCCCUGAUGCCCAAGAGACCCAGGCAGAAGAAGCCCCAAAGACCCCUGCCCCACAACCCAAAGUUAGGGAAGUUAAGAGCCCACCAAUCAAGCCUCAACUAACAGAAGACCAGCUUUCUGAGGACAGUCAGGGUCAGAGCGGGGUCCUGGGCUGGCUGUCCAACGGCUUCUCCAGCGCUCUCCCCAAACCCAGCGGAACCCCCGGACUCAGGAGGGCCAACUCCGACGCCCGGCCUGGGGAUGACGGAGAAAGGGCUGGGGUAAUGAGCUGGGUCACCCAGGGCCUCACUAACAUCCUCCCCCAGCCUGAUGAGAAAUACAGAGAGGCCCCCCUGAACCCCAACGAUGAGCAGACAGAGGUCCAUCCGUUACAGGAAAUGCCAGAUUACGACCCCUUGCCAGACAUCCCUGUGGUUGACGUGGUGUCAGACGACGAGAUGUCUGAGUCGGAGAAUCGGACCCCCCAGUUCGCCCCAAAAGUGGUGCAGUGGAUCAAACAGGCCAUCCCCCAGCCGGUCGUCCUACCCCCUGGCGCUGUGGCCAUAGAACCCAGGUCACCCAGGUCCGCCUGCUCCAACCGUUCUUCUCUGGACAAAGUUCUGUCUCCACCACCUGAAUCCCUGAGUGGCAUCUCCCUGGACACCGACGGCAAGCCAGGGGGGAUGAUGGGUUGGUUCAUGUCAGGGUUUGCUCUCCGGUUGCCUCAACCCUCCAUUAGGAACAAGGAAGACGUCGCUGCUGCGACGGAGGCGCUACAGAAAGCGCCACCCAAACCCAGACCAGAGAUGGUUCUGGAGGACGUCGACUCGGACCACGAGGAACCGGUCCGAGGGGGGAACCCGCCGUCCCCGGCCGGGACGCCGGAGACCCGACCAGCGGGGGGACAGGACGCCCACACCGGACCAGCGGAACCCGGUCACAGUGACGCGGACUGGACGGGGACCGGCCAGGAGGACGCCGAGACCCAGACGGGCCGCUGGACCCCCUUCAUCAACAGCAUCAAGAGGGAGGCCGAGGACGUUGCCUUGGCAACCAUGGAGGAGCGGUUGCUGCAGGAGCGUGUGCUGAUGACCCGGAUGGCGGAGGACGUGGCGCGUCAGACGGCUGAGAUGGCCGUCCGACAGAUGGCCUCCGAGGGGGGGUCCAUCAAACUGUCCCUGGGGAGCCAGGACCUGCUGGGGGAGCCUGAGCCCGAGUUGCAGGCGCUCGAAGGGGAGGAGGAAGAGGUGGAACAGAGUCUGCAUAAAACCCCAGAACCGCAGGAGUGUGACGGCGAGCAGGACCAAAACCAGCCUGAAAUCCCAGAGGAGCUUGAAGACCCAGAGGAAGCAGAGCCUGUGGGGUCGAAGCCUGUGGGACCCGAACCUGUGGAAACAGAGGAGGCUGCUGCUGAAGAAUCAGCGCCGGAGUCAGAAGAAGAGUCAGAGUCAGAGGAGGAGGAGGACUCACCCCAGCAGGACUCCUCUGGAACACAGGGUACCUCUGGACCAGAACCUGUUACAGAACAACCACAGACAGGAGAGGAAGGCGCUGACACCACUGCAGCCAAAGAUGAGGAAGCUGCUGGAGAGGGCAGCUGUGCGCCCGUCAGCUGUGAGGUCCUGAAGACCUAUCUGAUGAGCGUCCCGUGCGUGUCCGACUGCCUGGGCAACCUCGGCGCCUUCCUCAAAGAGAACGGUGUCUCCCCCACCAAGGUGGGCUCCGCGCCCGCCCAGCUGCUGUCCGACGUCACCAAGCGCCUGCCCUCCCUGCCCCCCGAGCUGCGCCAGGAGCUCUCCAGGAUCCGCCUCACCCAGGUGCCCCGCAACAUCAUCGAGACCCUCACGGAGCUCGUCCCCGCCCGCUCCGAGGGCUCCGGCGGCCUGGCGCGCUACCUCGGCCUGACGGCGGCGUCGGUGCCGUCCGUGUCGGGACUGUCCCAGAGCCUCGCCGCCGUCCCCCAGAAGGUGGCGGCCAUCCCCGCGCGGGCGCAGCAGUACUACAACAACGUCCAGAGUCGCCUCAACAGCCUCAUGCCACAAGAUGCCUAAGAAACAGAACCAGCAGCAGCAGCAGCAGCAGAAGAAGAACCCCCUCAUUAGCGACCAGGACCAGGACCUAGAGCUCAACCGGCUAGUGAGACCGACCCCCUGCCCCCACCCCUGUGCUCCCGCUCCCCCUCCC
ensembl:lncRNA